rnacentral:rRNA from 1 species
UGCGUAGGCGGAUAGAUAAGUCAGAGGUGAAAGCCCACAGCUCAACUGUGGAAUUGCCUUUGAUACUGUUUAUCUUGAAUAAGGUUGAGGUUAGCGGAAUGUGGCAUGUAGCGGUGAAAUGCAUAGAUAUGCCAUAGAACACCAAUUGCGUAGGCAGCUAGCUAGGCCUUUAUUGACGCUGGAGGCACGAAAGCAGUGGGGAGCGAACA